GGGGAAUUAGCUCAAAUGGUAGAGCACUCACUUAGCAUGCGAGAGGUAGUGGGAUCUAUGCAUUCUCCA
rnacentral:tRNA from 1 species